AUUGAACGCUGGCGGCGUGCUUAACACAUGCAAGUCGAACGUGAAAGUCCUUCGGGAUGAGUAAAGUGGCGCACGGGUGAGUAACGCGUGGAUAAUCUACCCUUAAGAUGGGGAUAACGGCUGGAAACGGUCGCUAAUACCGAAUACGCUCCCGAUUUUAUCAUUGGGGGGAAAGAUGGCCUCUGCUUGCAAGCUAUCGCUUAAGGAUGAGUCCGCGUCCCAUUAGCUAGUUGGCGGGGUAACGGCCCACCAAGGCAACGAUGGGUAGCCGGUCUGAGAGGAUGACCGGCCACACUGGAACUGGAACACGGUCCAGACUCCUACGGGAGGCAGCAGUGGGGAAUAUUGCGCAAUGGGCGAAAGCCUGACGCAGCGACGCCGCGUGAGGGAUGAAGGUUCUCGGAUCGUAAACCUCUGUCAGGGGGGAAGAAACCCCCUCGUGUGAAUAAUGCGAGGGCUUGACGGUACCCCCAAAGGAAGCA
rnacentral:rRNA from 1 species